GACGAACGCUGGCGGCGUGCUUAACACAUGCAAGUCGAACGGUAAGGCCCCAGCUUGCUGGGGUACACGAGUGGCGAACGGGUGAGUAACACGUGGGUGACCUGCCCCGCACUUCGGGAUAAGCCUGGGAAACUGGGUCUAAUACCGGAUAGGACCGCACCGUGAGGGUGUGGUGGAAAGUUUUUCGGUGUGGGAUGGGCCCGCGGCCUAUCAGCUUGUUGGUGGGGUAAUGGCCUACCAAGGCGGCGACGGGUAGCCGGCCUGAGAGGGUGGACGGCCACAUUGGGACUGAGACACGGCCUAGACUCCUACGGGAGGCAGCAGUGGGGAAUAUUGCACAAUGGGCGGAAGCCUGAUGCAGCGACGCCGCGUGGGGGAUGACGGCCUUCGGGUUGUAAACUCCUUUCACCAUCGACGAAGGUUUUCUGACGGUAGAUGGAGAAGAAGCACCGGCUAACUACGUGCCAGCCGCCGCCGUAACAC
rnacentral:rRNA from 1 species